UCGGGUAUGGUGUAACGGCUAACAUUGCCGCCUCUCAUCUUACAGCAGACCGCGGCAGCUCGGGGUUCGAUUCCCCGUACCCGAA